UACGGAGGGUGCAAGCGUUAUCCGGAUUUACUGGGUUUAAAGGGUGCGCAGGCGGAUAUGUAAGUCAGUGGUGAAAUCUCCGGGCUUAACUCGGAAAGGUCAACUGAUACUGUGCGACUAGAGUGCAGAAGGGGCAACUGGAAUUCUCGGUGUAGCGGUGAAAUGCGUAGAUAUCGAGAGGAACACCUGCGGCGAAGGCGGGUUGCUGGGCUGACACUGACGCUGAUGCGCGAAAGCCAGGGGAGCGAACGGG
rnacentral:rRNA from 1 species